rnacentral:rRNA from 1 species
AUCCUGGCUCAGAUUGAACGCUGGCGGCAUGCCUUACACAUGCAAGUCGAACGGCAGCACGGACUUCGGUCUGGUGGCGAGUGGCGAACGGGUGAGUAAUGUAUCGGAACGUACCUUCAGUGGGGAUAACGUAGCGAAAGUUACGCUAAUACCGCAUAUUCUGUGAGCAGGAAAGCAGGGGAUCGCAAGACCUUGCGCUGAUUGAGCGGCCGAUAUCAGAUUAGCUAGUUGGUGAGGUAAAGGCUCACCAAGGCGACGAUCUGUAGCGGGGUCUGAGAGGAUGAUCCGCCACACUGGAACUGAGACACGGUCCAGACUCCUACGGGAGGCAGCAGUGGGGAAUUUUGGACAAUGGGGGCAACCCUGAUCCAGCCAUGCCGCGUGAGUGAAGAAGGCCUUCGGGUUGUAAAGCUCUUUCGGCCGGGAAGAAAUCGCAUGGGCUAAUACCCUGUGCGGAUGACGGUACCGGCAUAAGAAGCACCGGCUAACUACGUG